AGGGAAUCUUGCGCAAUGGGCGAAAGCCUGACGCAGCCAUGCCGCGUGAAUGAUGAAGGUCUUAGGAUUGUAAAAUUCUUUCACCGGGGACGAUAAUGACGGUACCCGGAGAAGAAGCCCCGGCUAACUUCGUGCCAGCAGCCGCGGUAAUACGAAGGGGGCUAGCGUUGCUCGGAAUUACUGGGCGUAAAGGGAGCGUAGGCGGAUAGUUUAGUCAGAGGUGAAAGCCCAGGGCUCAACCUUGGAACUGCCUUUGAUACUGGCUAUCUUGAGUAUGGGAGAGGUGAGUGGAACUCCGAGUGUAGAGGUGAAAUUCGUAGAUAUUCGGAAGAACACCAGUGGCGAAGGCGACUCACUGGCCCAUUACUGACGCUGAGGCUCGAAAGCGUGGGGAGCAAAC
rnacentral:rRNA from 1 species